GACGAACGCUGGCGGCGUGCCUAAUACAUGCAAGUUGAACGAUGAUUUCUGGUACUUGUAUCAGAAUGAAGAGUAGCGAACGGGUGAGUAACGCGUGGGUAACCUACCUCUUAGCGGGGGACAACUAUUGGAAACGAUAGCUAAUACCGCAUAACAAUGCUUAACACAUGUUGAGUAUUUGAAAGUACCAAUUGGUACACUAGGAGAUGGACCCGCGUUGUAUUAGCUAGUUGGUAGUGUAAUGGACUACCAAGGCGAUGAUACAUAGCCGACCUGAGAGGGUGAUCGGCCACAUUGGGACUGAGACACGGCCCAAACUCCUACGGGAGGCAGCAGUAGGGAAUCUUCGGCAAUGGACGAAAGUCUGACCGAGCAACGCCGCGUGAGUGAAGAAGGUUUUCGGAUCGUAAAACUCUGUUGUUAGAGAAGAACGCYG
rnacentral:rRNA from 1 species